rnacentral:misc_RNA from 1 species
CUAAACUGAACCAUGACUAUUGGCCAAGUUACAAUUUCUGUUGAAUAAAAAAAUUCGUCUAAUAAAUGUCAUAUUAGACGAAUUUAAUAAUUAUUAAAAUAAUAUUUAUAAUUAAAAUAUAUCAAAUUUAUUUUAAUUAUUUUUUUUAGUUAAUAAAUAUCUUGUUGUGGGGGAGAAGUUCUUCUGUUUCUUCCAAGGUUUUGUUUUCUGAGAAACACUCUGUUUUUCACUUCAUCUGAUCGUCACAAGUAGGUAGAUCCGAUUUCUCCCUUCACAUUAAUUUCUGAUUUUAUGCAUAUUCGCCCUUAUUUUUAUUUACUUACUUAUUUAUUUAUUUGCAUUUCCUUUUAGAAAUUUCUUGUCCAUAAUUUGCAUUAUCCACAUCUCCUCUAUAAGAAGUCAUUGCGGCUUUGUUUUUCUCUUUGUGGGUCUCUUCCAUUUUAGGGUUUUAGGCGCCUUUUCUGGGUUUUAACCUUCUGGGUCUUUUUUUUUCUUUGCUUAAAACCGUUGUCUAACUAAUAGAUCAUAGUAAUUUACAUAGGAAUUUUUCAGUUUAAAUGGCUCGGUUGAUUCUUCCAUGCAGAAGUUCCUGUUUGACAAAGACCACUCUCUUGGGUUUGAUUUCCUCUGCUCCUCUUCACGCUACAGGCCGAGCUAGCUUCUUUCGGAAUUCAGUGAAAAAUAUCUCCAAACAUAGGCGUUUCCUUAGUUCAGAGGUCACAGUUGGAAGGAAUUAUCGGUUUCUGUAUCCUGCAUUACAGGCCAAGGAAGACAACAAGAGGCUAAUUUGUUCAGUUGCCACUGAACCCUUGCCUAAGCGAGUUGAAGAGUCCAAAAUGGAUACACCAAAAGAAAUAUUUUUGAAGGAUUACAAGUUGCCAGAUUACUAUUUUGACACGGUGGAUUUAAAUUUUUCACUGGGUGAGGAGAAAACAAUUGUUAGUUCAAAAAUAACCGUUUGCUCCAGAGUUGAAGGUUCUUCUUCCCCGCUGGUUUUGGAUGGCCAUGAUCUAAAGUUAAUUUCAAUCAAGGUCAAUAGUGAGGAACUAAAGGAUAAAGAUUAUCAUUUGGACUCACGCCGAUUGACAAUUUCGUCACCACCUACUGGUACCUUUGCGUUAGAAAUCGUUACUGAGAUAUAUCCUCAGAAGAACACAUCAUUGGAGGGGCUUUAUAAGUCAUCUGGGAAUUUCUGCACUCAAUGUGAAGCAGAGGGUUUUCGCAAAAUUACAUUCUAUCAGGAUCGCCCUGAUAUAAUGGCAAAGUAUACAUGCCGGAUUGAAGCUGAUAAAUCAUUAUACCCAGUACUUCUAUCUAAUGGGAACCUCAUAGAACAAGGAGAUCUUGAGGGUGGUAAGCAUUAUGUUUUUUGGGAGGAUCCCUUCAAGAAACCUUGCUACUUGUUUGCCUUGGUUGCUGGACAGUUGGAGAGCAGGGAUGACAUUUUUGUUACCCGGUCUGGUCGAAAGGUGUCACUAAGAAUUUGGACCCCAGCCCAAGACCUACCCAAGACAGCACAUGCCAUGUUUGCACUUAAAGCAGCAAUGAAAUGGGAUGAGGAUGUCAGCAUCUUCAUUCCCAAGCUUUUGAUGUUUCCCAGUCUUAAUCCCAAGGUUAUUUGUUUGGUCAUGAUUUUAAUGUGUGCUUUGCUAUGAUAUAAUUCUAUGAGCAGGUUUUUGGUCUUGAAUACGAUUUGGAUCUCUUUAAUAUUGUUGCUGUUCCAGAUUUUGACAUGGGGGCUAUGGAGAACAAAAGUCUAAAUGUAUGCCUUAUAACUUUUUCUGGAGUUAUUUAUUAAUUGAUAUAAGAUUAUUUCUCUUUGAUCUUAAUAAAUUUGUGAGGUGAUUUCUUUUCAAUAGAUUUUCAAUUCCAAGCUUGUUUUGGCAUCUCCAGAAACUGCAUCAGAUGCAGAUUAUGCUGCAAUUUUGGGAGUUAUCGGUCAUGAGGUUGAUGAUUUAUAUCUGUAACAUGAAGUACACCAAAUGUUAGCUUUUACUAAAAUUAGAUAAUAAUAUUAUUUUGACCUUUUGUUUUAAUCUUAUUUCUGUCAUACAGUACUUUCACAACUGGACUGGCAACAGGUUGGCUUAUACCCAUUGAUACUCUUUAUCUUUUAUAAAAUACGCCUCGAUUUUUUUAUCCUGUCUUUACUUAUUACUGUCAUCACAUUCUAUUUUUCCGUGCUGAGAAAUAAGAUUUCUGUUUCCUUGCCAAAUGUUAUUGCCAUCUAUUUAUAUUGUUUCAUCAUUUUAUGGUUAUGGGAGUUAUUUUUUGUAUUGCUUUUGUUUUGUUCAAACAUGUGAUGGAAUCAUGGAACUUGUUUUAAGUACUAAGUAAACACUUGCAGAGUGACUUGUCGUGACUGGUUCCAGCUCAGCUUAAAGGAAGGUCUUACUGUAUUCCGGGAUCAGGAAUUUUCAUCAGACAUGGGAAGCCGUACUGUAAAGAGGAUAGCUGAUGUUUCAAAGCUUCGAAAUUAUCAGUUUCCACAGGAUGCUGGUCCUAUGGCUCAUCCUGUACGACCACAUUCUUACAUCAAGAUGGAUAACUUCUACACAGGUAAGUUUCUGUUCUAAAUGAUGUACUGAGUCAAGGUUACAUCAAAUACUUAUCUUGGAAGGGUGCUCCUUGAUGUUUUGCUUUCCUUUUGCAAUACUGGAAUGAUUUCAAUACGGGGCUAUGCACCAACUCCAACUUGCAGUCACGGUUUAUGGAAAGGUUUGUCAAUUUCCCUCUGCAUGCGUGUCUUGUGACCUUUCUUUUUUACCUUUGUUGGGCCGACCGGGGAAGGGGUAACGGAGCGUGUUCACAGACGCCAAUUACUUAAUCUUGCAUUUCAGGGAGCUGAAGUUGUCAGGAUGUACAAAACCUUGUUGGGGAGUCAAGGUUUCAGAAAGGGCAUGAAUCUUUAUUUUAAGAGGCAUGAUGGCCAAGCUGUAACCUGUGAAGACUUCUUUGCUGCCAUGCGAGAUGCGAAUGAUGCAGAUUUUGCUAAUUUCUUACAAUGGUACUCCCAAGCUGGUACACCUCUUGUGAAAGUUACAUCAUCCUACAAUGCUGAAGCUCGUACUUUCUCCUUGAAGUUUAGCCAAGAGGUACCUCCAACUCCAGGUCAACCAUUUAAAGAACCCAUGUUCAUUCCUGUGGCAUUAGGUCUACUUGAUUCAGCUGGCAAGGACAUGCCUCUCUUCUCUGUGUAUCAUGAUGGAAUAUUGAAGUCCAUUACUAGCAACAAUCAACCAGUAUACUCAACAGUUCUUAGAGUAACCAAGGUCAGUUGGGAAUUCAUACUUCUUCCGCUUCACAUGUUUAAGCUGGUUUAUCCUUGGUUUUUGCUUCUUCUCCAAUUUCCAUGGCAGUUAUAAUUAGUGCAUCUAGGGGUCUCCUCUUUUUUCUUUCACCCCAGAUUUAAUGGGGGCUUAACACACCUGCACACACACCCAGAGACAUGUAUGUGGAAAUUUCUUGGCAAGCCGUGUUGCAAAUAAUUCUUACAAAAUGGAAGUGCUUUUAAAUGGUUAAUUGUAGUAUAAACUUUAUUUUACCUAUUAUUAAGCAAAACAGAAUCUUAUAAAAGUUUUUUAUAUUCGUUAGAAAAACUGAUUUUAAAUUUUCAGUGUAGCAAACCUAAGUAAUAACAUGCAACUAUUUAUAUGCACCUCUGGUUUAGUGAUAACCUUUGAUGGUGCUAAGCAGAAAGAGGAAGAAUUUGUCUUCCCUAACAUAAUUGAGCAGCCAGUUCCUUCUAUAUUGCGUGGUUAUAGUGCUCCUAUCCAUUUCGAAUCAGAUCUCUCUGAAAGUGAUCUGUUUUUCCUCCUUGCUCAUGAUUCAGAUGAAUUUAACCGGUUUGUCUUUCUCUAAACUUUUAUUCUAUUUUAUUUAUGGUCAAGCUGACAGAUAUAAAGCAAAUUUAUUUAGCUCUGCCUUUCUGUUUUAGUUGGGAAGCUGGACAGAUCUUGGCAAGGAAGCUGAUG